AUGAUCACGUUUUGUCUGUGUUCAUGUGUUACAGAGGGGUCCUGUUCCAUCAUGAGCGCAGAGACACCUGGUCUGAGGGUUGAGGUUUGGAAAAACUGUUUAUGUUCAGUGGAACACCACAGGCCAGCUGCGUCUGCCAGGUGCACCCUCCUGGGUGUCAGGGGCUGUUCUGCGCUUCUCAGAGGAGGACAGCAGGUAUCUGAGCUGGAGUGUUGACCUCGGCCUUGGAGAAAGGAGUGUUUAGUGGAUUCAUAGGUGAGGCUCUGAAACAGGCAGAGCCUGGGGCUAAAUGCAUCCACACCCUCAGUAGCUGGUCACAUCUGUUCAUGUCUAGUUUUACAGGUAACAGCUUCCAAAUGUCAUGGGUUAAGAUACACCACUACGUAAACCACAGUCUUUAUUUGUCACUUUCAAAAUACACAGGCAAAUGAUUUGUCUGUGGGGCUUCGUACUCUGAAGCCCAGACUGCACCAUCCUGCAGUGGGUGGUGUCUCAGCUGCAUCCAGGUGAAGGAAACACUGCAGUCUUGAGAGCAGCUCCUGCCCCUGCUGGCAGCUCCCUUGGGGAACUGAUGUCCAGAAUCCUUUGCCAGAAACCUCUGUUCUGUUGGAUUAACCCAACUCCAGCAUGCCUUCUGCACCUUUUACACAGCUUAACUCACAGGAGCAUUGAAGCUUAUGUUUCCAUCUUAAAUUCCUCUUAGAAGAGCCACUUGAGUAUUUUAGUUUAUUUUAAUGCCACUAUGUGUUCAUAUAAAGUUACUGCUAACAAAUUUUCCAUUUCUGAAGCAUGAUAUUCACCCCCACUUUACUACUCUUCAUUUACUCUUCCCUUUCAAGAGAGAAAACAGGUCCCUCACAGAUGACAUUGAAAUGACAGUGUAAGUAUUCAUUUCCUGGGGACCCAAGGCCAACGAGGUGCAUCCACCUGCACUCACAGGGAUGAACACUAGAGAGGCGUUCACCAAACUGUGUGGUGGCAGAGGGAAUUUUCUUUGGAAGGAACCACGAUUGCGAUUUUCUCUGGAGAAGAGUACAAUGUCCUACAAAUUUUAACAAUUACAUCAAAAAUUUAUUUCAGGAAUUGCAUAUAAUUUUUUUUAAUUAGAAAGCAAUAAUUGCCAUGAUAUACUAUUGAGAAUGGCCCUGCGCUAGUAUCAAAGCUUCUAAGAGAGAAUGAAUGCCAGCUCCCUAACCAUACACACACACACACACACACGUGUACACCAACGCACACAGCCACCCUCACACACACAUGCACCCCACAAACCCCAUAUAGCCUCCCACAGCCCCAC
rnacentral:lncRNA from 1 species